AAUAUUGCACAAUGGAGGAAACUCUGAUGCAGCGACGCCGCGUGAGCGAUGAAGGCUUUCGAGUCGUAAAGCUCUGUCCUAGGGGACGAUAAUGACGGGACCCUGGGAGGAAGACCCGGCUAACUACGUUCCAUCAGGCGCGGUAAUACGUAGGGGGCGAGCGUUGUCCGGGAUUAUUGGUCGUAAAGGGUUCGCAGGCGGCCUUUUCAGUCAGAUGUGAACGCCCACGGCUUAACCGUGGUAAGCAUUUGAAACUGGAAGGCUUGAGUUAAGGAGAGGAAAGUGGAAUUCCUAGUGUAGCGGUGAAAUGCGUAGAUAUUAGGAGGACUACCAGUGGCGAAGGCGACUUUCUGGACUUAUACUGACGCUGAGGAACGAAAGCGUGGGGAGCAAACA
rnacentral:rRNA from 1 species